AAAAUAUUUCCCAACUUACGCAAGUAUCACCAGUUCCAACCAGCUACAUAUACGUCCCGAUGGACAUAAAUUCUAUACGAUAUCUAUGGAUUCGCUAACUUGGCAACAACAAAUUCUCAAUUUAGUGUUGACACGAGUGGCAUCUGUUCGCAUUAAUUUAUGUAUUGAUUGGUGAAUAAAUAAUUUAGUAUUUUGGAACAACCCAAAUUUGGAGCGGGGUCACAGAGCUCCCCGUGGUGGCGACGGCGGCAGAAAAUUACCGAAUUCUACGAUCCUCGGAUGAACACGCGGCAGACGUGAAAUUAAUGCGGGACGUGGGACCCUUUUUCGCCACGCUUUAUAUCCUGUCAUUUUUCCUCCUCUGUUCCGGAAUAUUUUCCAUUUUGGCGUCCAUCACGGAUCAGGCGAGAUGGGUGGUCAGAUUGAUAAAAGUGGCGAAUUUUUUCUCCACCCUGCUCUACUGCGGAAUCAUCUUGGUUAUCGUGUACAACUUGAAUCCGGCAAGUUUUCGAUCCGACAAGAAAUUAGGAAAUAUCGGAUUAUCCUGGGAGACAUAUGUGUAUUGCGGAUUUGUAUAAUUCGCAAUAGUUUCAUGGAAUAAGAAACUGAUCAAAAUGCUCGAAAGAAAAAUUCAACGGAGGCAACGAGCAGAUGUGUAAGAAAUUAGCCCAGCCCAGCAUUUCAAACUUAACAUUGUUAAGCUUACGCGCUUAUUUCUAAGCUUAUUUUUAAGCUUACCUUACUGUUGUAAGCUUAAAGCAUGGAAAUCGAAAAACUUAUCGUCCACAUACUAAUAUAUUUUAAUUCCGAAUCAAAAGUCUGUCUUCGGUUUUACAUUUACCACUUUUGUCAUACAUAUUUACAUAUUUAUAUUUGCAUUUCACAAAAGGAAAUUUUAGUACACUCAAAAUAAAAAUUUGUCGAAUCAACA